AAGAGCAAUCACUAAUAUUGCGCCAUUGAUAGAGUAAAAUAAGCGCGAUAGUUAAGAACAAGUUUUGUUUUAGUUCUCAAAUUUAAGUUUUUAUUUGUAUGAGUUUAUGUUUGUUUGUCUUUCUUAUUCGUUGACAACAUAAACGGUUGUCAAGGGGGGCGGCAUGUUUGCAUUGUAACCCGCGCUAGUAUAUUUAGCAUUAUUUAUACGCGUCUGUUCUGAGCUUCCUUAGUAGGUUGCAUGCCUGCCGACUAGGGAACUGUAGUAUAGUAGUGUGGUAAGGGAGGUGCUGCGUGGAGAGAGCAGAGAUUCAGAACCGCUCGAGCGUCCGUCGCCAUAAGACAUAAGCAUUCAUAGUCAAGAAAUGUUCAGCACAUAAGAAUAAAGAUUGUCGGUCAGAAUAUAACGCGAGUGUUAUAUUCACUUAACCUUCAGCCAACGAAAAGCAAGACAUGGACUUUGAAGGGUUUUUAUCAAUAAAUGCCCUAGACUUGCUGCACAAACUGUGAUGUUCUAACUCCGUCUGAACGUGCCUCAUGUUUUCUGCGCUUGGCACAUUGCCAUCAGAUGCUUUUAACUCUCGACGAACUUUGUGAACAAACAAUCGGACGACUUUCAAAAAUUGGGAGACUUUGAGAUUGCUGUGAUUUGCGUGUAUAGCGACAAUAACAGCGUGUUUUUUUAUUUCCUAAAUCAGUUUAAUGUCUUCCAUUUAUGAUUUAAUAAAAAAAAAAAAUGAAAAAUAAAAAAACUUGUUGCUGCGAAGUGACAAACACAUAUGUGAGUGUUCUCAAAGACCUGACGCACCCUGUAUUUCUUCGCUACUUUGCAACAUGAAUUGCAAAAUAAUACGUUAAUUUGGCUAAUAAAUUUAUACCGUAGACCUGGCAAGGAGAAGUUAUUAUUGCAGCUGGAUAGGUGUAAUACGUAGGAGAAGAAAAUAAAAAUACUUCAUAUUUAUUUUCCAGAAGAAUUAAAUAUAAUGACUUUGAAAAAUCAAGAACUUAUGUGUUCUACAAUAUAUGAUCAUUUAAACGCUGUACAAAAUUACAAUGUGACUUUAUUACCUCGCCUUAAAUUACCUAUAGCAUUACUGAAACGAUUGCACUUACUACUUAUACAGAAGAGGACUACGGUUUACAUAAGAUUACCGAAGGCAAAGUGCAAAUUCAUUACGCGGAAGGUACACACGUUUCAAUAAUGAGCAACAAAAAAAAUUAUAUCAGCUAUUAAUGAAGAAUUGGUGGAGAAAUGAUAUAUUUGCAUGCUACAUUUCAAUGUAUUUACGUAUACGCAUUUUAAAAUGUA
rnacentral:lncRNA from 13 species